GGGGGACCACCCUCUAAGCCUAAGUAUUCCUCAAUGACCGAUAGCGUACAAGUACCGUGAGGGAAAGGUGAAAAGGAGUGCAAUAGAGAACCUGAGAUCCGAUGCGAACAAUUAGUCGAAGGAGCGGAGCUUAGAGCCUUUACUUUAUGUAAAGCACACUCACUCUAAUGGCGUACAUUUUGCAUGAUGGGUCAGCGAGGAAAUGGGAACAGCGGCUUAAGCCAUUAGGUGUAGGCGCUUUCCAAAGGUGGAAUCUUCUAGUUCUUCCUAUUUGACCCGAAACCGAUCGAUCUAGCCAUGAGCAGGUUGAAGAGAGCUCUAACAGGCCUUAGAGGACCGAACCCCCGUAUGUGGCAAAAUACAAGGAUGACUUGUGGCUAGGGGUGAAAGGCCAACCAAGAUCGGAUAUAGCUGGUUUU
rnacentral:lncRNA from 1 species